CGUUUCGCAGAAAUUCAGAGAUUUUCGAUCUCCUUGAAAUAAAAUGAGUUCGAUCAGCAACACCAGUCUCCGCAGCACCAGGAUAAAGACCUUCUUUUUACCCAUAACCUUUCUCUGCAGCAUUGGAACCAAGAUCGGGCUUGGCAGAGUUACGUAUCUAUGAAAAAUGGAGUUGGUUUAUUAUCUCCUGGCAUUUUGAUCUUUUGCAAAGACCUAGUUUGUAACCCUUCAGAUACUAACAUAGCUGUCUUCCCCUUGCAUGCCAUAUAUAGAAGAAUGGUGCUUCAAUUACAAAACAUGCUACAACAGAGAUGGAAUAGGUACUGA
rnacentral:rRNA from 1 species